GAUGUUUUCGCAGAAGAAAACUUCUUCCCACUUUUGUUGAAGCGUCACGCUGUAAAACGUUGAUUUCUUCAUUUGAUCUUUUACAUCUCCUUCCAUAACAAACAUGAAAGGAACAUACCAUUUCCCUACUACAACACUCUUACCUAUACUAGUAAGGUCUGAGUCUAAGCGAAGCUUUGUGAUAAUCCCUUUUGCAUCAUCUACUAGACCAAAGUCUUGUGAAGUCGAGUAACUGACCGACCAAUGUUUUCUCUUCAGGUAAUAUGGUGGCACACCAUCAGAAGCAACUGAAGUGGCAGAGUAAUAGAGAGAUGAUGGUCGGCUUGAAUGAAUCUCGAAUUGUUGGUAUAUAUCAUACGGA
rnacentral:lncRNA from 1 species